UCCCUGUGACCACGUGGGUUUUCUCCGGGAGCUCCGCUUUCCUCCUGCCUUCCACAAAUGUACAGGUUUGUAGGUUAAUUGCCUUGGGUAAAAAUGGGAAAUUGUCCCCACAGUGUGUGAUGGGAUAGCAG